GUUUUUCUUUUUUCUCAGUCAGGUGUCUAUUUAUGAGGUGGACAAGCAAGAUUGUCGCAAAUUUUGCACUACUGGCAUCGAUGGAGCCAUGACAAUUUGGGAUUUCAAGACCUUGGAGUCUUCAAUCCAGGGCCUCCGGAUAAUGUGAAGCUGAGUGAGCCUCCCAGAUCCAGCAUGACAAACUGACAAAAGUGACAGAGUGUGCUGAUACGGCCCCACCGUUUGCAUGGUGGUGAGGAGAGCCAGCCGCAAGGAAACACUGAAGACACGCAUCGUGCAAAUGUUUGUGUGGUUUUGUUUGAAUAUAAUUGGUAAAAGUUGGUUUUUUAAAAGCAGCAGUGAUUUGGGUCUUUUGUUUUUUGUUUUUGCUAUUUCAUUCCAUUCUUGACCAAAGCCUCUCUUGAAGUAGUUUAUUUUGGAAAAUUGUCACACUAACUUAAAGGAAAGGGUGCAGAGAUAUGUAAGUUGUCUGCUGAACAGUUAAAUAAAAAUACUGAAUGUGU